UACGGGGGGGGCAAGCGUUGUUCGGAAUUACUGGGCGUAAAGGGCUCGUAGGCGGCCAACUAAGUCCGACGUGAAAUCCCAAGGCUUAACCUUGGAACUGCGUCGGAUACUGGAUGGCUUGAAUUCGGGAGAGGGAUGCAGAAUUCCAGGUGUAGCGGUGAAAUGCGUAGAUAUCAGGAGGAACACCGGUGGCGAAGGCGGGUCUCUGGGCCGAUACUGACGCUGGAGGAGCGAAAGCGUGGGGAGCGAACAGG
rnacentral:rRNA from 1 species